UACGGAGGGGGCUAGCGUUGUUCGGAAUUACUGGGCGUAAAGCGCGCGUAGGCGGCUUUGUAAGUCGGUGGUGAAAUCCUGGAGCUCAACUCCAGAACUGCCUUCGAUACUGAGAGUCUCGAGUCCGAGAGAGGUGAGUGGAACUGCGAGUGUAGAGGUGAAAUUCGUAGAUAUUCGCAAGAACACCAGUGGCGAAGGCGGCUCACUGGCUCGGUACUGACGCUGAGGUGCGAAAGCGUGGGGAGCAAACAGG
rnacentral:rRNA from 1 species